rnacentral:lncRNA from 1 species
CGAACAAUAACUUUCUGAAUCCAUACUAUACAAAACUGAAUUUACAAGAUAACAACUCUGCUCUUAGAAACAAAACUGAAACUGAAUACAUCAGCUUCUACUGGCUGUCUAUGAAGCCUCUACUAGCAUUGACUUUAGAUAGCCAGGACAUGACCCCCAACUAUCGCAAAUCAAUACGACUGAAUAAAGAAAAUAUCAAGUUGUAGAACUGACUCGAGCCCUUGAAUCAAAAGGACUCAUCAUUUGCUGACUGGAAGCUGCAACUGUCUGAAUAUAGUAUGCGUGCUAUAACUGAACUGAUACCAACAUUAGAAGACAAUGUGUGCAUAGACGUAUAUGUGGAUCAGUACUUUGAGGAUGUACUGAAUAUAUGGAAGUGUAUGCAAUAGUUAAACAAUAUCAUCAAUCUUUAUAGAAAUCAUGCAUGUUAAAUAUAAAAUGACUCACAUAGCUUGAAUAAAAUUCUCAUAAGUUGAGGUUAGGAAAUAGAUAAUAGAAAUCACGUGAGUCGUUUCACUUUAUUCUGGAUCUCUAUUCUUACUUUGUUCUCAACUUGUAAAUUAGAUAAAAUCUUAAAGCAUCAACCUUCAGGACAUAAGCUAUAAUCUCAUGAAAGCAAGAAACUUCUUGGGAACUUAGUAAUCAUGACACUUGAAAACUUUAGAAAUCAUAGAAACCAUAGCCUUCAAAAUCAAUAUACAUUCAAACUCACACUUUUAGCUUAAGGAUAGUAACACUUCUUUAAAACUCAAGAACUUGAUACUUUAGGAACUUUAAGACUUGAGACUCUAGAAAACUUAAGAGACUUUGGGACACUUGGGACUCGGGAUUAUAUCUUUGGGAGUUUCUUCUAACCGACAUAAACCAUGUAAAUUACAGAGAGUCCAACGUUUUACCCACGUUGGGGAGAACUAUUCUAUCCUUUCCAUCGGAGUAGAACCUUUAACUUUUAGUGAUCACUAUCUUAACCCACUUGGGGUAAAUCAGAAACCUACGGGGGCACGUAGUUCUGGGCCAUGAGACCUAGGAAUCAAGCCUAACUUGGUGCUAAAUACUACUCCCUUACUUAGCUCAGAACUUUAAGAAAAUUCACCUUAAACAAUUCAACAAUAUGUAAUAGGAGUCAAUAUGCUUCCUCUUUUAUCUCAAAUCAAACAAACAAUGUGGAUUUCUUUCUUAGCUUAGGGUCAAAACUCAAUUCUUUUCUUGAAAUCUUGAUAGACUUUUCAUCAAAGUUUUAAAAUCUCAACGACAUGGAAAUAUAAGUACACUUCUUGGAGUAUCAAUAAUUCAUCCUCAAAGACUCACAACUUCACAAUAAAGUUCAACUCAUGACAACAACUCUUGGAAAUUCUUGGAAACAUGAUAUCAAUAUAGGAAUGUGCAAUUUAUAUCAAGAACUCUCAAGUUAGAUCAUACUUGAACAAAAUAAUCAUGCAAUUAGGACUUGAACAAUUCCCUAAUAUCAUAAACUUGAAAUAUAGCAAAACAAUAUGAAUUCAUUUUGGAAAUACGAAAUUCUUUAUGAAAAUCUAAAACUUUUGGGCACAAGAACAAAGAGUGUUCUUGUUCAAACCCCAUAUACCUCAAAUUAUGGACUCUUGCUUUUUGGGAUGCUAUUCAUACAAUUGAUAGGUGCUUCUUGUAGCCCUCUCAAUGGGGAAUCCGAAUCUUGAAAAAUUAUCGAAAACCUACGGAUGAAUCUUGAGAUAUUUAAAUUUUUAGGUUGAAACCCUAAUGAAUGGCCUUGGUGAUUUUGAGAGAAAAUAAACUUAUUUUGGUGUCUUAGGGAUUUAAUCCCGUGUUAAGGAUAAUAAAGGGGUGGAAAAUACCAUUUCUACCCUUAAUGAGAUUGAGGAAAAAAGCUGAAAACUAGGCAAAAAGACUAUGGCCAGGGCGGCGCCUUGCCUAGAGCCUUUGCUAAGCUAGGCGGCGCCUCCCUAUAGCCUUUAGCUACUAUUUCUGAAACCCAAACACGCCCUUAGGCUCGUCUACAAAUUUUGAAACUCACCCAAGAUGUACUCUUACCUUACCCCAUUGCAACGCAACAAAAAAAUCAAUAAACGGAGGUCGGGAAGGUCGCUAAAUAAUUCCCCGAAGUUUGAAGGUUCAAAAAUAAACUAAGUGUUGAGCACUUAGCAAAAUUUGUAAGACUUCUUUUGAUUCGUUUCGAAAGCCUUAACGAUGAGGGAACUUUACAGGGUCUUACAAUAUCUCCCCCUUAGGAACAUUCGUCCUCGAAUGUCGCUCGUAAGGCUAAGAGUACAAAGAAAACUAAGGAUUCACGGCUGAAAUAACUUGUUAAAUUGACUCUACUUCAUCUUAGACUUUCGGGUACUUCAUAGAAUGCAUGAACUCAUAAUAAGAAUAUUCAUAUAGCUGAAUCUUUGAUUAAAAAAAAGGACUGAAUUAAGGAAGGCUAUUAUCUUCGUCUGAAUCUGAGCUAACUUGCUUUACCUUAUCAUGGGGAGCUGACUCAUGCUAAGAGUUUAGAACUCUUUUAAUGAGCUCAUGGCAUGAUCGUACUUAUAGACUGCAAAGUGAUUGUUUAUGCAGGCAUAAUCAUGAGAAAAUGAGGCUAAGAUUACACAAUGGAUAUCACAUUGUUUGAACUAGAAUACUUGGAAAAUGAAGGUUGUUCAAUGAAUACUUAUGAACUAAGACAUGACUAGAUACCCGAAUCCUGAAACUGAAACUGAUGUACGAAUUGAACUGAGUUCGCAAUUUACAUGGAUGGAAUAGAUUAUAUCUUGGAAUGGUCAUAUGCAUGAGACUUGAGAUAGCAGGACUGGGUGAAAAAGGUGUAAAACCACACGAUCUUGUCUGCCUCACCGUAAAACUGAAUUGCUGGCUAUACUGACUGAAUUACACUGGAAACUUAUACAUAGUUGGAGUAUCUCUUCAACACUCCAUAACAUGGAAUAUAGACAUAUAACUCAUAAACUGGGAUAGAAUUACCAGGCUUUAGGCGAUGCAACUUCUUACCUUCAAGCUUAGCAGCAGUUCUCGAAUACUCCAUCAUCUAUACUAUUCCCCUUAAAUACAAUACUCACUUGAUUCAACUUAUAAUUCUCAUAUAGCACUAAUAUUUCCAUCUACUAAUAUCUAGACUGAAUUAAAUUCUCUCACCAUCUUUAAACCUAACUCAAAAUCAUAGGACGCACCACAUAAUACUGUAAUACUAGCCUAAACCAUAAAUUCAACACACCCUGCAUUUCACAACUUUUCAUCUCAUGCGAAAUUCUCAUUACCACUCCAACAAACACAUUUGACCUCGUACUAGACAUUUACUAACGCGCAAUACAUUCAUCCCAAUAUAUAUACAAACAAGAUGCUCAAGCCUACUUCUAUAACCACAUAUGAACUUCUAAACACACUCCCAUAAAAUACCUUUGUCACAACUUACAAACCUCUAUCAAGAACAACUUCCAUGCACUACUCCUAAGAAGACAUACAUAAGAUUUCAACUACCCAAACAUCGCAUAUAAAACUUCGACUAACCAUGACGGGUAUUAAAGACUUGGCUUCAAUCUUACUUCACACUCUACUGCCUUAACUAAAAUAAGCAUACAACUAUCUUCCAGUAACAAGAAAUGUUUAGUCUCUCCCAUCCAGACAACUGAUCAUCAUCACUAUCUUGACCGAAGAAAAGGUAAUAGAAGUUUAGAACAUGAGGGCCUGAAACAUAAAGGGAUACUGUGAACUCAACUGAGGCUUGAGGAAUAGAAUAUUUAGCAUCAUGAACUUAUCAAAGAGGUCUAACCCGAGGACAUGCAUGAUAUAAACCUGAAUUUCGCUGAUCAUUAAAAGUAUUGCUUGAAUACUUGAACUAAACAUACCGUAAAGCUUGAGUACAUGAGUCAUGAGCUACAUGACUUAAAUUUGGAGUUCAUAACUUAUGAAAUGUGAUUCCAACUGCCGAAAGAACUGGAACUCCUUAUUCUUGGGAAUUAAGGGAGUACAAAUUUCUCUAUCAUAUGCAUGAACAUGAAUUAAGAUCAUGAAACUGAACUUAAGGCAUGAGCAGAUAUUGGGACAACUGAAAUGAUAUUGGGUCGGGCAUUAUGAUUCCUUACAGCUGUUCUACAACUUAUUGGUACAUCUACUAGAAUCUAAAAGCUUGACUUGGUUACUUGUGCUAUCAUCUCCCCCUUAAACUUCAGCCAUCAUUCUAAGGCUGUGAACCACUAUGUAAACUCUAGUCUGGUUGCAAUCACUUUACUCUAGAGUCUGGAAUAUAACAAUGCACGUGAAUGAUAGAACUUAACCCAAAUGACUACACCUGAAAGGGUAAGACCAACUUCUAAUACAACCUUCUGAGCUACACCCUCUCUUUCUAUAGCCCCAAAAGUCAUUAUAUAAUAUUUGAACACUUCCUAGCUUUGAAUCCACAUAAGCAUCCCUAUAGUCGGAGUGCACACCAUUUAGUGCUUUAACUCUUAUUUCUAUUAUCUCAAUCUCCCAACUUUCAAAAUUAGAUUCUAACGCUUAAUAUGGGUAUCUCCAAACUUUUGAUGGACCAUACUACUUCUAUCAUAGCCUACCAAUAUCACACUUAUAAGCUUAUAUUUCUAAACCAUGAGAAUCAAAAUCAUACUUAACAGGCUCAACACCGUCAAUCAUAACUCCUUAACUUAGUUAUCAAGAACAUCGUACAUUAUCUAAUGAGUCUUUCUCCACCUAGAAACUCAACAGUACUACUAACCACACAACAUGCAAUGAUCCUCGAAAAUAAUGCAGCCCUAUAGCACCUUGGGCGUCCUUCUACAUCAUGUUUACAACAUCAGACAUGAUUACGAAUCAAAUAAACUUAAGCUCUUUCACACACUGUUCAAGCCUACUAGAUCAUUCAUGUACGUCUAACAUCCACAACACAUCAAUCAUUAUAUCCACCUUGCUCAUCAUCUAUGAUUCGAACUUGUCAACUAUUCAUACCUGUCAAACAUCCAAAGAUUCUAGUCUGUUAAAAUCUCAUAACAUUAAGGAUCAAUCACAACCCUAUGAUCUAUCUUAUUUAAAAUCCAUUAACACACUCUCCUUCUACACAUCAUUACUAUCUACCAAGUAUUUUCAUCAAUAACUUAUACCUUUCUAGCACAACAAACAUUAUCAACAACUCUCUUCACACUUCAAGCAAACAUCAAUUCACCUUAACUAAUAACUCCUUCUCUAUCUUCUACUAAACUAACACAUAAGGACAUAUCACUUCUCAAAUGCCCUGUAGCCUCUCGAAGAAAAGUACAGACGUCUCCAUAGCGUUCCACAAGACUCUACUAGAGACGACUCACCCUAGGACUCUUGAACUCUAUGCUUUGAUACCAAAUUUGUAAUGCCCCGAAAUGAGUCCCGAGACGUCACACAGUGCUUAAGGUCACAAGUGACCCCAAGCUAACACUUUAAUUGGCAUAACUCAUAUGCAACUAAAUAAAAUACAUAAAUCUAUACAAAAUCAGCGAAAAAUAACUCUUCUGAAUCUAUACUAUACAAAACUGAAUUUACAAAAUUACAACUCUGCUCUUAGAAACAAAACUGAAACUGAAUACAUCAACUUCUACCGACUGUCUAUGAAGCCUCUACUAGCAUUGACUUUAGAUAGCCGAGACAUGACCCCCAACAAUCCCAAAUCAAUACGACUGAAUAAAGAAAAUAUCAAACUGUAAAACUGACACGAGCCCUUGAAUCAAAAGGACUCAUCACUUGCUGACUGGAAGCUGUAACUGUCUGAAUAUAGUAUGCGUGCUACAACUGAACUGAUACCGACAUUAUGAGAUAAUAUAGCACAUAGAUGUAUAUGUGGAUUAGUACUUUGAGGAUGUACUGAGUAUAUGGGGGUGUAUGCAAUAGUUAAACAAUAUCAUCAAUCUUUAUAGAAAUCAUGCAUGCUAAAUGUAAAUGACUCACAUAGCUUGAAUAAAAUUCUCAUAAGUUGUGGUUAGGAAAUAGAUAAUAGAAAUCACAUGAGUCAUUUUACUUUAUUCUGGAUCUGUAUUCUUUCUUUGUUCUCAACUUGUAAAUUAGAACCUUUAACUUUUAGUGAUCACUAUCUUAACCCACUUGGGGAAAAUCAGAAACCUACGGGGGCAUGUAGUUCUGGGCCAUGAGACCUCGAAAUCAAGCCCAACUCGGUGCUAAAUACUACUCCCUUACUUAGCUCAGAAAUUUAAGAAAAUCCACAUUAAACAAUUCAACAAUAUGUAAUGGGAGCCAAUAUGUUUCCUCUUUAUCUCAAAUCAAACAAAUAAAACAAAUAAUGUGGAUUUCUUUCUUAGCUUAGGAUCAAAACUCAAUUCUUUUCUUGAAAUUUUGAUAGAUUUUUCAUCGGAGUUUUAAAAUCUCAACAACAUGAAAUAUAAGUACAUUUCUUAAAGUAUCAAUAAUUCAUCCUCAAAGACUCACAACUUCACAAUAAAGUUCAACUGAUGACAACAACUCUUGGAAAUUCUUGGAAACAUGAUAUCAAUAUAGAAAUAUGCAAUUUAUAUCAUGAACUCUCAAUUUAGAUCAUAAUUGAACAAAAUAAUCAUGCAAUUCAAGACUUGAACAAUUCCCUAAUCUCAUAAACUUGAAAUAUAGCAAAAUAAUAUGAAUUCAUCUUGAAAAUCUGAAAUUCUUUAAGAAAAUCUAAAACUUUUGAGCAUNNNNNNNNNNNAAAGAGUGUUCUUGUUCAAACCCCACAUUCCUACAAUUAUGGAUCUUGCUUUUUGGGAUGUUAUUCGUACAAUUGAUAGGUGUUUCUUGUAGCCCUCGCAAUGGAGAAUCCGAAUCUUGAAAAAUUAUUGAAACCCUACGAUUGAAUCUUGAGAUAUUUGGAUUUUUAGGUUGAAACCCUAAUGAAUAUCCUUGGUGAUUUUGAGAGAAAAUAAACUUAUUUUGGUGUCUUAGGGAUUUAAUCCCGUGUUAAGGAUGAUAAGGGAGGGGAAAAUACCAUUUCUACCCUCAAUGAGACAGAGGAAAAAAGUUGAAAACUAGGCAAAAAGGCUGGCCAGGGCGGCGCCUUGGGCAGCGCCUAGCCCAGAGCCUUUGCUAAACUGGGCGGUGCCUCCCUAUAACCUUUAGCUACUGUUUUUGAACCCAAAGACGCCCUUAGGCUCGUUUAUAAAUUUUGAAACAUACCCAAGAUGUACUCUUACCUUGCCCCAUCGAAACGCAACAAAAAAAUAAUAAAUGGAGGUCGGGAAGGUCACUAAAUAAUUCCCCGAAGUUUGAAGGUUCACUAAUAAACUAAGUGUUGAGCACUUAGCAAAAUUUCUAAGUGUAAGAUUUCUUUUGAUUCGUUUCGAAAGCCUUAACGACGAGGGAACUUUACGGGGUCUUACAAUAUCUCCCCCUCGGGAACAUUCAUCCUCGAAUGUCGCUCGUAAGGCUAAGAGUACAGAUAAAUCCAUAUGUUUACCAAAAAUGCCUAAGUGAAAUAAUUGUGCAAUUUGAUCCAUUAUUGAUCUUAAUUAUGAAAUCAUGAAAGAACUACAUGUCUAAAGGACUCCCAUGUUAAAGUUAUGCCUUGAAGGUGUUUGUUGAAAUGCCUAUGUGAAUCAUUAGUGUACUUAUGACAUGAUAGCAUGUAUCCCUAUAUAUGUACAAGUUCAAGAUUUACAAGUGUUUGAUGAAAUGCCUUAGAAAGUGAAUUAUGAACAUGUGGCCAUUGUCGUGCCUUUAAGAUUUAUGUUACGCUUUACUCUUUACGUUAUCAAGUCUUGGAUGACGACCUUGAUGAGCAUAUGCAACCAGUCUUAGACUCUACCCCUCAGCCCAGAAUUGAUCUCAGCGGAACUCCAAAACAUGGGCCAGAGCCUCCCCUUCUUUCUUCCUAAAAUGCCUGAGCUCCUGAGAGAGGGCCCAAUUUUUAUCAAAUCCUAUGGGGAGCUCCCACAAAUUCCACUUCUCACAAACGAAAUAGACAUUCCACAUCAUCGACUUUCGAUGGAAAUAAUGGAAAGAGCGAAAACCAUGGAGGCUCUAAGGCAAACAACAGGGAAAUAGAGAAACUCCUGGCAUUAUUAAAGGUCCCAGAGCAAAGGUCAUACUUCUAGGAAGGCCUAUCUCUCAAACAUUCGAGGAACUUAUCAGCGUGUUUCUAAUUGUCCUACUUACCCCAGAACUAAACCAGUUCGAUCUAUAAGUCAACCUCCCAAAGUCAAACAUCUUCUACUUCAGCCAAGAUGACCCCGAUAUCCAAGAAAAGAAAAGAACCAACGUCAACCUUUCUCCCUCGCUUAAUGGACAAGGGGAAAAGAAUACUAGAUCCAGCCCAUCAUAAGCCCCCCCCCCCCCCAUCCUCCUCUAUGAUGACUUCAAUAAUAUCAAAUGUUAGAGGAGCAAAGAAUGCUGAGUUCAGAAGGCAUUGUCAAUCAAUGGUUAACAUUCACAAGCCUUUUCUGCCUACCCUCCUAAUAAAGACAUUGCUGAAACUUUGGGUUUAAAUAGCCAAAUUCAAUUCCCUACUACGGGUAGCGUAUGAGGUAUUGUUAUCAUGUGGGAUAAUUCUACUUUGGGUAUUCAAAACAUUGUUAUUUUCCCUCAGGGCAUUCAUGUGGCUGUAAAGGUAAUUAGCCCUUCUUCCUCUUGGUACUUUAGUGUUAUAUAUGCUAGUAAUAGUUUUGAAGUUAGGAAAAGUCUUUGGGCUUAACCUCAUCGAGUUUGCUAACUCUAUUGCUGGUGAGUCUCCUAAUACCUAGAUUAUUGGAGGGGACUCUAGUGAAGUCCUUAAAGCUCAGAGAAGAUUGGUGGCAAUAAUAUCAAUAUAACUAGAGCGACUGCCUUCUCAGAUUGCAUCAAUAAUUAUAGCCUUGUGGAUUAGGUUUCAAAGGCAGCAAGUAUACUUUGUCUAAAAAAAUAUUUAGGAAUAGAAGGGGACUCAUUCUUGAAAGGCUAGAUAGAUGUCUAGCCAAUGAGGCUUGGAUUCACCUCUUUCCUAAAGCCUCUGUCUCCCAUCUUCCCAGAACCGAUUACGAUCAUUGUCCCCUUCGCUUGAAGCUGGACAAUACCCCCAACACCUAGGAUAACCCCUUUAGGGUUAAGUCCAUAUAGUGCUCUCACCCAAGCUUUAUUCACAUUAUCCAGAAUUCUUUUUCCCCUGAGGUUCCUCUGACCGAGGCCAUAACCAUCUUUGAAUCCCAGGUUUUCACCUAGAAUAGAGAAACCUUUACUAACAUCUUUAAGGAAAGAACAAGAACCUUGCUAGAUUAGAUAGCAUCCAAAAAUCUCCCUAUUAUCACUCCAGCCUCUUUCUCCAGGACCUUGAAAGAACCCUCACUAAGGAAUUUAGUAUCAUUCUCGGACUAGAAUAAGUGUUCUGGAAACUUAAAUCCAGAAUCAAUUGGAUUGCUGAGGGUGACUCUAAUACUAGAUUCUUCCAUAUCUUUACUCUAAUAGAAGAAGAAGAAAUUGGAUUAAUGUCAACAAAAAAGAUAGUGGUAAUUGGAUCUACUCUACAGAGGCAAUCUACAACCACAUCCUAUCCUUCAACAACAAUCUCUUCGGGAUUGACCACCUUUCAUAUCCUCUGUCAGUUGAACCCCUCCUCUUUAGAGGGUCCAUCAAAUCAGAGGAUCAUGAUUCUCUUAACAACAUCCCUUCCCCUAAAGAAAUUAAAAGAACCAUCUUCUCUUUCAAUCCUUACAAAGCUCCUGGCCCUGAUGCCAUCCAACCCUCCUUUUACCAGAGAUACUUGUACAUCUUGAGUCAUUCUGUUAUCAACACCUUCACUUCUGGUAAAAUGAAGUAUAAGGUCAAUUCUACCUAUCUUUGUCUCAUCCCCAAAUGUCCUAAUGCUAGCAAUAUUAGGAAUUACAGACCCAUUGGGCUCUGUAACACUCAAUAUAAGCUUAUCACUAAAAUCCUAGCUUUCGGGAUAAAACCUCAUUUUGCUAAGAUCAUCAGCCACACUCAAGAAAGCUUUCUCCCCAACAGGAGGACCUCAGACAAUGCAAUCAUUGUUCAAGAGGCCAUAUCCCACUUCCAGAAAAUGAAAGGCAAGUAGACAUAUGGUUUUGAAAAUAAACCUCAAAAAAGCCUUUGAUGGACUAAAGUGGUAUUCAUUAGACAAGCUCUCCAUUUCCUCAACAUCCCAACCAAACUCAGCUCCCUCAUAAAGUCAUACAUCUCUUCUUCCGGUGUAUUUGUUUUAAUUAAUGGGAGAAAAUCCGACUUCUUCUACCCCUCUAAAGGGAUCUGACAAGAUGACCCUCUUUUUUCCCUACAUCUUUUUCAUGUGCAUGAAACUACUCUCUAUGAGAAUAAACCAUGAGGUAGAUAUCCUUAAUUGGAACCCUAUAUCCAUUUGCAAUAAUGGCCCCAAACUUUCCCAUCUUUUUUUUGUUGAUGACCUUACCCUCUUCUCUAAGGUCUCUAUAGGAAGUUGUACCACCAUUUCCAAAGUUGUUGAGUCUUUUAGCCUUCAUUCUGGGCAAAAAAUCAACCUUUCCAAAGCCAAGGCAUCUUCUCAAAGAAUUGCUCCCCUCAAGACAAAACCUCUAUGGUAAACAUCCUCUCUAUCCAAGUUAAGGAUAACUUUGGGAAGUACAUUGGUUUCCUUAUUCUUCACUCUGCCCCUUGCUAAAAGGACUUCCAGUUCAUCAUUAAUAACAUUAACACUAGACUAGCUGGUUGGAAAACCAAGUUCCUGAACCUUUUUGGGAGGGUUACCCUUGCAAAAGCCUCUCUUAGUAGUAUUCCUAUCCAUGUUAUGUAGUACCACUUCAUCCUUAGCAGAAUUAUCUCUCUUAUUGAUAAGAGCCCAAAGGAAUUUUAUUUGGGUUCCACCUUGGAGAAAAGAAGAAUGCACAUGGUGAGCUGGGACGUCAUCACCCUCCCCAAAAACCAAGGUAGACUUGGUCUUCAAAAAGCUAGGCAUAAGAAUGACACCAUGCUUACAAGCCUAACCUGGAGACUUACCCAGAACCCCAACCGUCUUUGGGCACAGAUUCUAAGGAAUAAAUAUGGGUCUCCGAAGUCUAAGUGUAACCCUUCCUUCUCCAAGACUUGGAAAAAUAUCUCCCGAGGUUGGAAGCAUUGUCUGAAUGGUGCCCAAUGGAUUGUCCAUAAUGGGAAUCAUAUCAACUUUUGGUAUGGCAGGUGGAUCCCCAACAUGGAACCCCUUAUAUACCUUAUUCAGGGCCCCCUUAGCCUCCUUCAAUCCUAAAUCAAGGUCUCAGAAGUCUGGAAUGAAGGUAACUAGUUUUUCUCUGACCUCUCCCUCCAAUGGUAUUUUCUCUAGUAGUAGCGCAUAUUCCCUCCAAGGCCCUAUCUUUUUGGUUUGAUAAUGAAUAGAGUUCAGAAUCAUUUUCUUUUUUGUAAUGAAUUAAUUGGUCUUUUUCAUAUGAAUUCCAUUUGUUUAAGUUUCUAUUUUUAUUUUGAGCCAUACAACUUUGAUUAACCCCAGUUCUCCAUUUUUUUGGCAUUAAUCUAGACCAUCUAAUCUUAGAUAAAUCGUAUUGAUAAUGCCGUCUUAACCAGUUUUUCCAUUGAUUGAUUCUAUAACUCUGAGGUUUUUUAUGUUUUAAUUCAGAAUGAAAUAUUCCUAGUGUUCUAAAAUAGUCCUUUAUUUUAGUCUUAAGGAAAAAAGACGUUCUGUUAUAUUGAAGAACAGAUUUAAAUUUAGACAAAUUAAUAACUUGGGUUUGUGAUAAUUUGUAAAAUACAUAUGCUUGUGACAAGUAGGAUAAAUCAAAAAAACUAUGUGAAUUUUUCUUACUAAUAUUAUAAAUAUUAUAAAGUGACUUUUUUAUAGUCGAAAUAAAGAUAAAGUUAAUUUUGUUUUUAUUAUUAAUUUUUUCUUGAUUUAUUUCAUUAUUGGAAAUGUAUUUCUCAAUCAAUUUCUUUGUUGAUUUAAGACGGAGUUGUGUAUUAAUUCUUGUAAUAUUAAUGAUAGAUAAAAAUAGAUCGAUGUAUAAUCUUUGAAUGAAUAAUUUUCUAAAAUAAUGGAAUUGACAUAUUAAUCGAGUAUUUCUUUUUUUUAAUAUUUGGAAAAUAUUUUUUGGCGAUUUAGGACUAAUGUCUAUUUCUGGAGUUACUUUCUUUUUCUCUUUUGUAAUUCUUUCUAUUUGAUUUUUUAUUGUACUUGUUCUAUCAGUCAAAUCCUUCAUUUUGGUUUCUAUCAGUGAAGAAUUUGGCUCUGGAAAACAAACUGCCCCAAGGAUUAAGUCCUUCCUUUGGUAGCCCAACAUAAUAGAUUUCCUACUAAGCUACCCUCUCCAACAUGGGCCUCCCCAUCAGCCCUAACUGUGACUUUUGCAACCACUCCUUAGAAGAUAUCCCCCACCUCUUCUUUGAUUGCCCUGCCACCCAAGAGAUCUAGCAUAACCUUUCUUUAAAGGUCGCAAUGAGCCAAGAAUUACCCUCCCUAAUCUUCACCCUACCAAAUGGUCCCUUUGGACUAAACUAAGACAUAAAAAAUUCAACCACCUCCUUGAUUGACAUGAUAUUAUCCCCUUCUGCCUCUGGACUAUCUGGAGAAACCAAUUAUUUUGAGAACAAGAAGGCAAAACCCUUUUUUAUCCAAAGUUACUCAAAAGCAAUCGAAUAUAACCUUCUAGUUGUAAAUCCUUCAUCCACAACCAGAUUCACGGAUAUCAAUAUCCAUUGGAACCCUCCUCCCAAGGUUACUUUAAACUUAACAUCAAUGACUCGUGUCUUGGAAAUUCGGGUAGGGGAGGGAUAGAAGGUUUGACCCGUAAUGCAAUAGGAGGUUGGGUUCUUGGCUUCACCAAGAGCUUUAGCCAUACCACUAACAACUACAUGGAGUUUGCUCUCAGGGAAGGACUUAAAAUUGUUGAAUCCCACUAGUCUUCACCCUUGGAGAUCAACAUUGAUUCCAUGGAUUUAAUUUCAAUGCUAAAUCAUGGAAACUUACAUUAUAAUGAGUUUCCAUUAUAAUGCUAUCAUUGAUGAAUGCAGGUCUAGCCUAAGAAGAUUAGGAAGCCCAGCGAUGGUGCAUUGCUUUAGAGAGCAAAAUGGCGUGGCUAAUGCCUUAGUGAAUAAGGGGGUUGAAUCUGAAGCGGAGCUGGGAAUCGCUCUUUUUGAAAUUUCGUCAAUGUGUGCGCAACAAUCUCUAUAGGCAGACAUUGUGGGAACUCUUUUUGUUAGACAAAUUAAGCAUCCUCCAGACAGUUUUGUGACAGUUUUGUGACUGACAUCACAAGACUUUUGUACUUAAUCCUGACUCAUCUAGUCAGAACUAUGUUACUCCUUUUGUUUUUUUAUUUAAUAUUAACGCAAGCCUAUUAACCAAAAAAAAAAGAUGGACUAGUUGAGUAAUCCAACAUUGCGAUGAUCAUUACAGAGAGCAAAUUUCUAAAAAAUAGGAAUACAUUAUACUUUUAAGCUAAUCUUGAGUGAAGACUUAUAAGAAUGAGUUCAGAAUCAAUUGUUUAGACCACUUUUAUGUUAUAACCUAAAGAAGAAAAUCUGUGUAAGUCUAGGCUUCUAAGCGAACUAUACCUUAAGGACCAGUUUGGUAGGCCGCACUAAUUAGAAUAAUCCAUGGAUUAAAAUUGUCUCUCCAAUACAUCGUUUGGUUACUUUUCAACUUAAUACAUGAAUUACUUAUACACCAUAUGAUGUCUUAUUUUAUCCCUAGUAAAUGGAAAGGAUAACUUAUCCAAGAUUUAACAAUCCAUGGAUAAGACCUCCAAAUGACUAAAUUAUCCCUCAAUUUUUUUUUUAAAUUUCUUUUGUAAUUUGACAUCCUCAUUAACUAUAUUGGGUUGGUUAUAAAUGUUCUUUUUAAUUCUCGGACUCUAGUUCAUUGUAAUUUGACUAUUUCAUAAAUUAUGUUUGACUUUUUUCUUCAUAUUUCAUUUUCUUUACUGGGUUGAGAAACAGUUCAUGGAUUGGUCAUUUUAAUAAGCUUUAGGUAUUUAAACAUUUAUGUAGCCUUAAAUCUAUGGUAAAUUUAAGGCAGGUUUGACCAAUAAAAGAAUAUUGAAAGUACACAGUGUUAUCAAGGAUUUUCAUAGUGGCAAUCACACCAGAAAAUUAGUAAUAAAUUUUUAUUCAUAUUUUAGUUUUUAACUUGACUAAUUUAAUGAAAUAGAAAAUCCCAUAAAAAUUCAAGGGUAUAAUUGUAAAUGAGAUUUUUGUAGAGUUUUAAAUCAAACAUAAUACAUGAUAUAUCUAGUUUUUAAUAUAAUGAACCAAACACUUGAUAAAAAAUAAUUCAAGUACUAUAAUCCCUGUAUUAUUUCCUGCAUUAGCUGUCUUCGUACCAAACGACCUCUAAAAUCGGUACCUUUAUAAAAGUUUAGCUCAAACAUAGUUGAAAUUUGACCUCUUUGAAAUUAUUGAACACUACGUAAACCCCUUCUCUAGCUGAGGCCUUCCUUAAUGGGUUCUAAUUCUAAGAAGGGUACAAGUGAACAAGAGGGUAAAUUAGGUAGUAAAAUGAUACUUUAAUUAGUUGUUUUAAGAGAAUUAAAGAGUAAGGGAACUUGUUUGUCAAUAAUUUCUUAUUCACAUCUAAAUAUAAUCGGAGAAUAACAAAAGAAAGAUUUCAAGGCUUUGAGAAUAUCACUUUGAUACUUUUCCUCAUCACCUUUAUCUUCAAAUCAAGGUGUAUUACAUUACUACUUAAUAUAAGUGACAAUCUUGAGUUUUUCGUCGUUCUCACAGGAACAAUUUUAGAAUAUCACUGUGUCCUUUGUAAAUGAUAUUGAUAAACUAGAAAAUUUAAAGUUGUGAAAACUCUCUAGAAAUGCUCACAGCGCAUGUUAGCUAACGUACGCUGAGCUUGAAAGCCACGGCUAGAGGGAGAGGCCGAGGAUGGGGGCGAGGUUGAGGAAGGCCCCCAAGACAACUAUUGCUUCUUUUGGUAGCUCUGUAGCUACUAGACAACAAAUCCCACUUAAAUCUGACUUGAUUACACCCCCACUAGGGAUUAAGGUUAAGGAGCAACACCUGGUAGGCGAUGGGAGUCCCACCACUGCAGUAGCUAAGAAACUCUAAUUAAGUGACACUCCACCUACUGAUAGUAAAGUUGAUGAAUCUGGUGGUUCCAGGAGUUUGUAAUAUGCCAAUCCCAAUGGAACAGUGAAUUGAGCUAUUGUACACCAAACCAAUGAAAUAAUAAUACCAGAUCUGAAAGAGAAGGAAUGCAAGAGAAAAGAUAGGGGGAAGGGAAGAAUAGAUCAGCAGCCAAGGAUAUGUCUCUGAACUAUAUAGCCCCAGUAAUUGUGAAUGGACAAUGUAUAACUGAACUAGAUAAGGCUGAGGUAGCUAAGGAAUCUCAUAACUGGAAGUGUGCACUAAUUGAAUAUGUAAUUGGGGCAAACCCUGGGUAUAAUGGUUAUAAUGUGAUGAUGCAAUAUAUCAAUCAAAAUUGGAAGGAAGUUGCUCAACCGGAGUUAUAUAUGCAUGAUGAAGGUUAUUUCAUUACUAGAUUUAACUCACAGACUGACCUACACAGUUUUAUGCUCAGGUUCAUACACUAUCAAUAAUCUUCCUCUCAUACUCAAGUUGUGGUCAGCCCAAUUUGAUUUUAAUGAAGAAUACCCUACUAAGAUCCCGCUAUGGGUGAAAUUUCCUAAACUACCAAUGAAUUAUUGGAGUUACGAUUCAUUGAGUAGGAUUGCUAACUCAAUAGGCACUUCUAUGUAUGCUGAUGAGUGCACCACCAAGCAGACUCGCAUAUCCUAUGCUUGAAUUCUAGUUGAGGUCAACAUUACUCAGCUAUUACCUGAUUCAGUCAUAGUGAGAGCCCCUGAUAGUCAUGUUUUUCAGCAGGUAGUCAUGUACGAUUGGAAGCCUGUGUUCUGCCAAAAAGGUCAGAUUAUUGGUCAUACAUGUCACAGAUAACCCCCACCAAUGCCCAGAUAAAAGAAAGAAAUACCCAAAAGAGUGAUCCAAACCUGGCAAUACAAUGUCUUAAUCGUGGAUCAAGACAAGAGGCCUAGAAUUUAGAGAAAAAUGAGCCAUAGACACUAGAGCAAGCCACUGUUAAGGGAGAAAAAUCAAUUAUAACACUGGAGCCUACAACCACCACAUCUUCACAGUCUACACAACUAGUAAAGUCCACACAACUAGUAAAGUCCAAUGAGACUAGCUUUCAACCAGUAACUAUUAAGAAAAGAGGUGUUGUUCCUAUUGAUAUUAUCUUGGAUAUGGGUAUGUCUUCUAUCUCCUUCGGGAACAGGUUUGCUAGUAUUUAGAGUGACAUAGGUGAGGCGAGUUUGGCCCUUCUUGAUAGAGGGAAAAUACAUAAUACCAUAUGAAACGGCUGUUUUGGAAUAUCAGGGGUAUGAAUAAAAGGUAUAAGCAAAAAGAAGUUAAAAAUUUGCUUAAGAAUAAAAAAGUUGAUUUAGUAGGAAUAGUAGAAACUAGAGUCAAGGCUCACAAAGCCACUCAAAUAAGUGCCCACAUUGCUUCUGUUUGGGGGAAAUUACACAAUUACAACUCUACUGAAAAUGGUAGAAUUUGGAUACUAUGGGAUACUCGACACUACUAUGUCUCUCUUUUGAAAGAAGAGAUGCAAUUAAUACAAUGUCAGGUCAGGAGCUUAGCUGAUGGGGAAGUCUGUUUAAUUACGGUAGUAUAUGGAUACAAUACUGCAUCUUUGAGACUGAUGCUAUGGGACCAAUUAUGAGAGAUAUCACAAGGUAACCAACAACCAAGGAUUAUCAGUGGUAACUUCGAAGCUCUAUUGUACCCUCGGGAUAGAUUUGCAGGGAAUCCAGUACAAUAUAGUGACUCGAAGGAUUUUACUAACACAUUCAUAGUUGUGCACUUUAUGAGAUAUCAUGGAAAGGAGACUAUUAUACUUGGUCAACAGAAAACUUGGAAAAGAUAGAAUCUGAGCAGAAUAGAUAGAACUUUGGGCAACAGUGUUUGGAUGCAACAAUGUGGGUCAUGUGAAGGUUGAAUAUGAGGUCCCUUAUGUCUCAGACCACUCUCCAGUGUUUAUUAAUCUUACAGGUAAUAACUGAACAUCAAAGUGUCACUUAAGUUUUUUAAUGUGUGGACAGAGCACAAAGAUUUCCUGCAAAAUAUUAUUGAACAUAACUGGCAAGGUAUAAAGAACCUCGACCCUGGAAAGAACUUAUGGAUGAAACUCAAAGCUCUAUAGACUAAUUUGAAAGCCGUCAAUAACCUAGAAUUUAAAGUCAUAGCUCAGAGGAUAGAAAAAUCUAGGACUGAUCUUCAUAUUAUACAGGAGAAUAUGUUGCAAUGUCAAUCAGAUACCCUGCAAGCUUACGAGAAAAUAACUCUUCAAACUCUUGAAAAAUGGUUUGAGGUAGAGGAAAGUAUUAUGAAGUAGAAUCCAAAGCACAAUGGAUUAAACCUGGAGACUUCAAUACAAAAUAUUUCUCAGCAGUUGUCAAAGACAGAACCCAGAGGAAGAAUAUUACUGAACUCACCAGCUUGGUUGGUGACUUACUAACUGGCCCUAAAGCUAUUAAAGAGGAAAUUAUCUCUUUAUAUAAGGGUCUAAUGGGUUCUACAGCUCUUUCCGUACCUCAGUUGAUAUCUCAAAUAUGCAGAAAGGUCCUAGACUGUAGCAGAAUCAAAAAAUACUACUGUGACUGAAGAAAAAAUUCUUAAAAGCCUAAAAACUAUGAAAGAUGAUAAAACCUGGAUUGGAUGGAUAAAAUGUUGUGUUCUUUAAUAAAACUUGGCAUUUUUUUAAGCACGAGGUCAUUUUCACUGUGAAGCAUUUCUUUGAUACUGAAAAACUUUUCAAGCCUCUUAAUUGUGCAAUAGUAACCCUGGUUUCAAAAAUCCAAGCUCCUACCACAGUUAAAGACUAUAGACCUAUUACAUUUUGCUCUAUUGUGUGUAAGUUGAUUUUUAAGAUAUAAUAAGUAGACUCCAGAAUGUCAUGCAACCCGUAUUAAUGAGGCUCAAUCUAGUUUUAUCCCUGGUAGAAGAAUAGGGGAUAGUAUUAUCAUGGCACAUGAACUUAUCAAAGGCUACAUCAGAAAGAACAUCUCCCCCAGAUGCGUGAUCUCCAAAAGGCAUAUGAUUCUGUUGAAUGGAUAUAUUUGCAUCAUAUUUUAGUGGUUCUGGGAUUUCCUGAUAAAUUUAUCACUUGGCUCAUGUGUACAAACUGUUUCUUAUAGUAUUAUGAUCAAUGGUGAACCUAGUGAACCUUUUCCAGCAGCUAAGGGAUUAAGACAAGGUGACCCCAUAUCACACUUCCUUAUUUGCUUUAGCAAUGGAAUACCUGAGCAAGACAUUAUCAUAGUUGAAGAUGGAUAAAGGCUUUCACUAUCAUCCUAGAUGUGCCAAGCUAGGUGUCGCGCCCUAUUUCGAACCGGUGGAGAUAGUCCACAACAUAGUUGUGGUCACUGUGACUCUUUGGUUUUGAAAAUCAUUUUUAUGUAAAAAAAAUCUAUUUUUGAUCUUUCAAAAAUAUUUGAGAUUCUAAGUAAAGGUUUCGGUUACUCGAGGGUAAGGUGUUAAGCACCCCUAAGGGCCUAUCCGAAGAUAGUCCUUAACUCAGUUUAGGAAGACAUUUGGAAAAAUAUUUACUUUUAUUAUUUACAAUAAUAGUGGUAACUACACAUAAUGUUUAUCAAAUUCUAAAGAAACACACAAGGUACAUAAACAUAUCCUUCCGAUAUACGAAAAAGUGACGUAAUUUAUUGUCAAAAUAUGCAUGCAAUGUUUCAAAAAAAUAUGAAAAUGCACAUCUAUAAACCCAUGUAUUCAAUACCAUACGAUUUUUCAGAAACAUAAAUUCUAAACAGAACCAAAGAUUCGUAGAAAUCAAAAGAAAAACGAAAGAAAAGGAGAUGAGAGUUGAAUUAGAAAGGGAAUCCGCACCUUUUCUGGGGCAGCAAUUGAGGCUUUCCGUCAAGAUUCCGGCCACCAAACUCUACACCGGAAACUCGAUUUUAACAUGAAAUUAAGAAGAAAGACCAAGAAUUAUUGUGAUCUCCUACAUAUUUCCAAAAUACCCAAGGCUGAGUUUUGAACGUUCUCCUCCUUUCUCGACCGAUCUGAAACUUUUAUAUCUUUUAAAACUCGUUUCUCCCCUUUGCCUCGAAUCUGACAAAACCUCCAUUUUUGGACCUCUACAAACACUCCCUCUUUUAGUGAUGGAAUUGAAGGUAUUUAUAGUUAAAUUAGAACUUCAAAAUUUGGAUUUGACACUUAAAUCUAUAGAAGCCAACGGAUAGAAAAAAGAUGGGGGGAUUCAAAUUCAAAAACAGGAAAGAGACAUCACAUAACCUAAAAUUUUGGACGAUCCUUGGACCUUUAGUGUGGAUUUGAAAUUGAUUUUCAAUUCUUGUACCGAUUUGGAACUGUUUUUCUAAUGUCCGUUGGUUUCACGGGUCGGAGGAGAUAAAAUUGAGGGAAAUCUUGACAAGUGAGGGCAGACGAUGGUCAGUUAUGGUGGUGGAUAGGGUUUCAUUUUCGGGGUUGUUGAGGAGAAGAAGAAGAACAAACAAGGGAGGGGUCAGUAGUCUUGCUGUGCAUUUUUGAAGAAUGGAUGGAGACUAGUCGAUGCUUCUCUGAUAAACAAGCAAAGACGCGUCUGUGCUGUACUUAUUGAAGACCAA